rnacentral:rRNA from 1 species
UGAGUAACGCGUGGAUAAUCUACCCUUAAGAUGGGGAUAACGGCUGGAAACGGUCGCUAAUACCGAAUACGCUCCCGAUUUUAUCAUUGGGGGGAAAGAUGGCCUCUGCUUGCAAGCUAUCGCUUAAGGAUGAGUCCGCGUCCCAUUAGCUAGUUGGCGGGGUAACGGCCCACCAAGGCAACGAUGGGUAGCCGGUCUGAGAGGAUGGCCGGCCACACUGGAACUGGAACACGGUCCAG